AAAUAAUUAAAUCUAGCUAGCCCAAACUAUUAUAUAUUGAGCCCACUUGCUUUUUGAUUAACUAGCCCACUUCAAUUUAGAUUAAGCCCAUGAAGGAUUUUGUGUUUGGCGUAAAACGAGAUUAGGUUUAAACGAGUUGCCAUAAUUUGUUUUGUUCAUUUGAUCGGCCGCAUACUCUUGUUCUCGAAAAUCCAGAACUCAAAAUGAGCCCAAAAAGAAAAUCGUCCACAUUUUGUCAAAGACUUUGCCAUAAUUUGUAAUAGAGCUCCAUCUUUUCAUCUGAUAUCCCGAGUCCUUUGCUAACCUCCAAAAUCUGAAAGUCCUGAGCCUCCGUGCCCGUUUCUCGGUUGUUGCUGGGGGUAUAAGGUGGAGCGAGGCGGGGCUGUCGACUAUGGGGUGGAACCGGAGGUGGUGGUGAACCGAAAAUCGUAGCAGCAGAGGGCGAUUUCGGAGGAGAGUGUCUGGGUGUUUGAAGAUGGCUCGUAUGGUUCUUGGUUUAUAAACCGGUGACUGGAAAUGGAGGUAUGAAGAAACACAAUGGUUCACCCGAUUCUUUCUUUCUUUUUUAUUGUUCUUCGAAAUUUCAGCAAAAAAAAAAACACCUUCCUUCUUUUUUGAUUAUGCUCGUCAGCUUCAAGAAAAAAAAGAGAUCUGAUUGCUUCUUCCUUGUUCGAGAUUUUCAGAUAAAUCAAAUAUCCUUCUUCUUACUUCCUUACAAUUUUUUUUUUCUGUUGCAGGUUUUCCUGAUGAAGAAGAUAAACAGUGGCUGUGAGGGUUAUGGAAAUGGAAGGCAGCAGGUCUACGGUUUUGGCUAGAAGCAAGGCAAAGUCUGGUCUCCGGUUGGGACUAUCCGAGAGGAAAGGCGGAAGGGGAGCAGCAGCGAGAGGGGAGUUUCUGCGAGGGGAGGGGUUUCUGCGAAAAUGAGAUUUGCGAAGGUGAGGUUUUUUCUGCGAGGAUUGGAUGCUGCGAGGCUCGAGGGUUCUCGGGAGGGCUGUGAGAGGAUUUCGGAUGAGCAGCUUUGAGGAUGAGCAACUUAAGGUUCAGAGAGACUUCUCGGUACGGGGUGAAGGGCUUGCGAGAGGGGUGUGCUAGGGUUUUAGCAGGUCUCGGGAGUGAAAGCAAGCUGCUAGGAGUGUUUGAGCAUUUUUUUAUAAUUGUUCUUGGUUUUUUUUUUUUUUUUUUUUUUUUUUUUUUUUUUUUUUNNNNNNNNNNNNNNNNNNNNNNNNNCACAUCUUUUUUUUUUUUUUUUUUUUUUUUUUUUUUUUUUUUGAUGAUUGCUUCUGGGUUUAUGUUUCCA
rnacentral:lncRNA from 1 species